rnacentral:rRNA from 1 species
AUUGAACGCUGGCGGCAGGCCUAACACAUGCAAGUCGAACGAGUGGCGGACGGGUGAGCAAUGUCUGGGAAACUGCCUGUUGGAGGGGGAUAACUACUGGAAACGGUAGCUAAUACCGCAUACUAUCGGAUGUGCCCAGAUGGGAUUAGCGAGUAGGUGGGGUAAAGGCUCACCUAGGCGACGAUCCCUAGCUGGUCUGAGAGGAGGACCAGCCACACUGGAACUGAGACACGUUCCAGACUCCUACGCGAGGCAGCGGUGCGGAUGAUUGCACAAUGGGAGCAAGCCUGAUGCAGCGAUGCCGCGUGUAUGAAGAAUUCCUUCGGAUUGUAAAGUACUUUCAGCGUGGAGGCGUUACCCGCAGAAGAAGCACCGGCUAACUCCUUGCCAGCCGCCGCGGUAAUUC